rnacentral:rRNA from 1 species
GUCCUCUCUGAAUUAAUUUGAGGUCUGGUCUGCUCACUGACAAGUAUUAAGAGCCGCGGUAUUUUGACCGUGCAAAGGUAGCAUAAUCAUUAGUUUCUUAAUUAGAGGCUGGUAUGAAUGGCUUGACGAGAAAUCUACUGUCUCUUAUUAAAUUUUAGAAUUUAACUUUUAAGUUAAAAGGCUUAAAUUUUUCUUUAGGACGAGAAGACCCUAUAGAGCUUUACAUAUUACUCUUAUAUAUUUUUUGGUUAAUUUUUGUAUAUAAAAUGUUAAUGUUUUGUUGGGGUGACAUGAAGAAUAAUUAAACUCUUCAUUAUAAAAUCAUUUAUUUAUGUAAAUGGUAUGAUCCAUAAUUUAUGAUUAUAAGAUUAAGUUACCUUAGGGAUAACAGCGUAAUUGUUUUUGAGAGCUCAUAUCGACAAAGCAGAUUGCGACCUCGAUGUUGGAUUAAGAAAAAUAUUGGGUGCAGUAAUUCAAUAAUUAGGUCUGUUCGACCUUUAAAUUCUU